GCUGCCUUAGCUCAGAUGGUAGAGCAGCCGCCUCGUAAGCGGCAGGUCGGCGGUUCGAUUCCGCCAGGCAGCUCCA
rnacentral:tRNA from 1 species